rnacentral:lncRNA from 1 species
CCCGACAGUCCUUAUUUGGCUUCUAAUAUUUUCCCCCAAUUUCAAAACCCUUCCCGACUCUCCAUUACCGUUUCAUCGUCCUUGAUUAAAGACGGCGAGACUACACCAUGAAAAGUAUCUCUAGCUCCUGCCAUCUUCAAAAAAGGUGAAGAAGAAGAAUAGUCCACCAUGAAAUCGAAGAUUCGUGGAAAUCGAAGAAGUUCGAACGUUGUCCAUCUUUCACCGCCACGAAGCAUCCUCCACCGCCCAACUGAAGAUGACACCUUUUUUCGUCUAUACUUCUCAAGUAAAUGUGUGACGUCUAACCUUAGGUCAGAGGAUGAAAUCUCUGUGACAGCCAUGAAGUCAUCGAACUGAAACGAAGCGAAAUUGCAAAAUUUUUUUUUGUAAAAAUAAUGGAAAGAAUUAAAUGGGUAGUUUUUGUUUUUGUAAUUAAAAGUUGAAGAACAAACAAAUUGGUUAAAGAAAUAAAAAAUGUUGUAGAAGUGCAAUUUGAUGGGUUGACAUAUUGAACAUUUAUUAUUGUCAAAUUCAGACAUGUUGUGGAACU